CUACCACUGAAGAGUCCCAAACUAGGACGAAACAGCUGUCCAGUAU
rnacentral:hammerhead_ribozyme from 1 species